rnacentral:rRNA from 1 species
UAGCGGCGGACGGGUGAGUAACACGUGGGUAACCUGCCUGUAAGACUGGGAUAACUCCGGGAAACCGGAGCUAAUACCGGAUAGUUCCUUGAACCGCAUGGUUCAAGGAUGAAAGACGGUUUCGGCUGUCACUUACAGAUGGACCCGCGGCGCAUUAGCUAGUUGGUGGGGUAAUGGCUCACCAAGGCGACGAUGCGUAGCCGACCUGAGAGGGUGAUCGGCCACACUGGGACUGAGACACGGCCCAGACUCCUACGGGAGGCAGCAGUAGGGAAUCUUCCGCAAUGGACGAAAGUCUGACGGAGCAACGCCGCGUGAGUGAUGAAGGUUUUCGGAUCGUAAAGCUCUGUUGUUAGGGAAGAACAAGUGCGAGAGUAACUGCUCGCACCUUGACGGUACCUAACCAGAAAGCCACGGCUAACUACGUGCCAGCAGCCGCGGUAAUACGUAGGUGGCAAGCGUUGUCCGGAAUUAUUGGGCGUAAAGGGCUCGCAGGCGGUUUCUUAAGUCUGAUGUGAAAGCCCCCGGCUCAACCGGGGAGGGUCAUUGGAAACUGGGAAACUUGAGUGCAGAAGAGGAGAGUGGAAUUCCACGUGUAGCGGUGAAAUGCGUAGAGAUGUGGAGGAACACCAGUG